rnacentral:rRNA from 1 species
UACGAGGGGGGCAAAUGUUGUUCGGAAUCACUGGGCGUAAAGGGAGCGUAGGCGGGUUUCUAAGUCAGGUGUUUAAUCCCGGGGCCCAACCCCGGACAGACACUUGAAACUGGGAAUCUUGAAUAGUGGAGAGGUCAGUGGAAUUGGGGGUGUAGCGGUGGAAUGCGUAGAGAUCCCCAAGAACACCAGUUGCGAAGGCGGCUGACUGGACACAUAUUGACGCUGAGGCUCGAAA